AGGUACGUACCGUUACAACAACAGAAGAGAGAUACAGAACUCUCCUCCUCUAACCUGUACCUGCCAGAGUGCGGUGGCAAACAUGUCAUCUCCAUUGAUCAAUGAAAAAAGACAUUCGGAAACCAUGUUCAGAGAGCGAAACUAGAGAGGAGGGAAGAAGACAAGGACAUCCAUCGCCGCUUUAUUUGGAUCCAAAGACUGCACACAACAUGAAGAUACACAGCUGUUGACUGGCUGCCUUGGAUCUCUUUGUACGCCCAGGGUAUGACAAGGUGCAAACAGUAAAAUAUUUGAGGAA